CCUGAUGGCCGACUUGUUGCUCCGCCUCACGCUGACCUGUGCUCGCCUUAUGGCUGAACUGUUGCUCCGAGUCCGCCUGACGAGCCACCUGUUUCUCCGGAUCUGUUUCUCCGCCUAACGGCGACGUGUUUCUCCGGACCUGUUUCUCCGGACCUGUUUCUCCGGACCUGUUUCUCCGCCUAACGCCCGAGCUGUUGCUCCGCCUAACUCCUGACCUGUGCUCGCCUCACGCCCGACAUGUUGCUCCACCUCACGCCCAGCCUGUUGAUCGGUGGACGGGUAAGCGCGCAUGGCAUCGGAAGGAGCUCGAAAAGUAUAAGGUGAUGACAGUAAGUAACGUUACUGUGAUUUGUGAUCUUUCUGGGGUGUUAACUGUAAAGCAAUGGAUAAUUGCGUGAAAAUUAAACUAAAAGAAUGCAAUCUUGAGGAGUUAAUCCCCACAUUUGAAGGAGCGAACCUUUCCUCGUUUUUAGGUCAAUUUGAAUACAAUUCAGAGGGGUGGCAUGGGGGCGCAGUGGGUAGUGCUGUCGCAUCACAGCAAGAUGGUCGCUGGUUUGAGCCUUGGAUGGGUUUCCCCUCCACAGUCCAAUGACAUGCGGUGUAGCUGAAUUGGAUUGGGACCAAUAUUGCUGAGUAUCUUCAUCCAUUGAAUUCAAGAAUCUAUUGAGUUUCCUCAUGUUCUCAUCCUUGGAGACCACCACUUCUUUCAAGCCUUUGCUCACGUGCUGUGC
ensembl:processed_transcript